rnacentral:snoRNA from 1 species
CUACUUGAUGAAAUAUUUUUUAUGCAUUUUUCUGGCAUCUCUAAUGUCAGGUCGCCUCAGUGCGACCGAUGAUCUCACAGGACUUCUGAUC